AUUGAACGCUGGCGGCAGGCCUAACACAUGCAAGUCGAGCGGAGCGGCGGACGGGGGAGUAAUGCCUAGGAAUCUGCCUGGUAGUGGGGGAUAACGUCCGGAAACGGGCGCUAAUACCGCAUAAUAUCAGAUGAGCCUAGGUCGGAUUAGCUAGUUGGUGGGGUAAAGGCCUUCCAAGGCGACGAUCCGUAACUGUGCUGAGAGGAUGAUCAGUCACACUGGAACUGCGACAGGGUCCAGACUCCGACGGGAGGCAGCAGUGGUGAAUGUUGGACAAUGGGCGAAAGCCUGAUCCAGCCGUGCCGCGUGUGUGAAGAAGGUCUUCGGAUUGGAAAGUACUUUUAGUUGGGGUGCGUUACCAACAUAAUAAGCACCGGCUAACUUCGUGCCAGCAGCCGCGGUAAUAC
rnacentral:rRNA from 1 species